GACGAACCGUGGCGAACGUUGUUCGGAAUCACUGGCUUAAAGGGCGCGUAGGCGGCCCGCCAAGUCCGGGGUGAAAUACGUCCAGCUUAACUGGAGAAGUGCCUUGGAAACUGGCGGGCUCGAGCGAGGUGAGGGUGAUGGGAACUUCCGGUGGAGCGGUGAAAUGCGUUGAUAUCGGAAGGAACGCCGGUGGCGAAAGGCGCAUCACUGGACCUCGUUCUGACGACUGAGGCGGCGAAAGCCAGGGAGCAAACGGG
rnacentral:rRNA from 1 species